UCAUAAAUUAUUUUUUGUUUAUUGUUUUUUGUUUUAGAUUUUUUGCUGUAUAUUAUUGACAAUGACGUUUAUGUGUUCUGUGAAAUGUUUACUGGUUUGUUCCAUGUUAACAGAUUUAUUAUUAUUUUCUCGUGAUUUAUUUUAAUGACGCUUAAAAUAAUGUGAAUAUAGUUAACAAAGAGAAGACAUGUAGCAUUUUUAUAGUAAAAGUACUGAAGAUAAUUUUUUUUUUUUUUAAUUUACAUAUUUAGUGAUGGUUUUCAAACAUUAAUGUAUCUUUCCGCUUUUUUUUUUUGUAUGUACAAUAUAUACUGAAAUAUUUAAUGCAAUAAAACUCUGUCAUUGCAGUUAAAGUAGAAGUGUGAUGAGAUGAUGACCGUAUGAAUAAAUUAAGACACAUCCAAUUUAAUAUUAUAUAUAUUAUAUAUACUAUUAGUAAUGUUUUAUAACUUCAAAUUUUUAUAAUAAUCUAUAUAAUUAAGAAGAUAAGGAAAGUUUUGUCUCCCGCGUAUUUAUAUGGUUUUAUAUGCUUAUCAACAACAGUUAAUUUAUAAUGGCAAUGAACAGUCAUUCUGAUUUUGAUUCCGAUGCAGUCAUCGAUGCAGUCAUCGAUGCAGUGUUUUUUCUUGAUCUCGUAUCGUGUAUAGCCAAAUUAUCCAUUGAAAAGAUUAAAAACAAAAAUUUAAAACUAACUUUUGGUUUUGUUUUCGUGAUUUAUCAGGUCAUGAUUGCAGCA